AAUAAAGUAAGCUAAAUUAUUAAGCUAGUGGGUUCAUACCCCAAAAAUGAUUAUUCCUUUAUUA
rnacentral:tRNA from 1 species